AGUAAAAAAAGUAAAAUAACUAAAAUAAUAUUUGUUGUGUAUAUCUACUCAAGUGCUUGCCCUACUUAAAUGUUUUGUUUCAAGUUUAUUGGGUAUGUACCAUUUUUCGGGAAUCGCUUUACUGAUAUCUUCUUUCGCAUACUGAUAUCUGAACUUAGCUUUAAAUUUUUAAAGCAUCAUAACUGCCCAUUUGAUUGACAGUAGUUCAAGUUCACUGGAUGUGUACCAUUCUUGUUCACUUGUUCAUUGUUCGCGACACAAAUCACUGAUCCAAAUGCGGUGAGCUGAAGUCAACAACUGAUCUGGCCCGACGUCUGGCCCAAUCCCAGGUGAAUGUCUUCAAGGGGCACUUCUACACACAUUAGCCGUAUAAGCCGUAUUUUGUCUUCGCCAAUUAGCGGGCUUAUGCUAACUCCAGCAAGUGUGGCAAUAAGUCCACGAGUCGCGGGCCUGGGCGCGGAUUUAAUUCAAUUUAAAAGUGUGCAAACAUUUAUGCAAUUGCAAAUGAAUUUUCUUCUUUCGCCUGCUUCGCUUUGCACCGCAGGCGGUGGGGAAAUUGCUUUUGGAGGCUGGCUGGUGGAGGCACCAUCGACGGAGAGGGCGGCUAUGCCUCCGGGUGGGCGUGGCAGAAUUGCGAAAUCCAGGUGGCAGUGGCUGUCUAAUUAGUUGCUGCCUUUCCCUCGGCGCACACGGCGUAUGGGCAAUAGCUGCAAAUUUGAUACCAUAAUUGCGGGCAGCGCCGCAGCUUCCGUGGAAGUGGAACCAAAUACCCCUGGGCCUCCAACGGCCAAUAUUCAUGUGUAUGCACUCCGAGGGAGUUCAUGGCGGCCAUUGCACAGGGAGAAAUAGUUCAAUGAACUAUCAGAUUCAUUUAACUAAAGAUCGUCCAGCAAUCUGUAUUGUAACAGUUUUAGAUUUUGAAAUAUAUGUUGUCAGGCGCUAUAAAAGUAGUUAAUCCUGGAGAUAGUUAAUUAAUUAUAUUCGCCAAUUGCUGUGCUUAAACUUUAUCCUAAUAAAAUUAUUUGGCCAUAAAUUAAAUCUGCCCUCCAUAUGGAAAAUUCAAAUCUUUCUAUGAAAAAAAUAAUAGUACCAGAAACUGCCAUAUUUAAAAACCAUUUAAUUUAAGAAAACGAACUAAGAAUAGAUGGACCCCAAUGUGCCCCAAUUGAAUGCACAAAAUGACAAACGCAGAAGGUUGACGACUCCAUGACCAGCGACUGCUCUUGAGGCCUGCCCCCCAAAUGGAAUCCGCCAUAACCUAGUUAACGUUUGGGUGGCAGUGGUGGCACCCGUUCUCCGUCCUCCGUCCACUAUCCACUAUACAUUGUCCACUGUCCAGUGGCGAUUGCGAUUGCAACACUUUGUGGCAACUAAAACGCGUGCAACUUUUGGCCGCUUUUGGACCAGAUCGCCUUACAUCUCUCUGCGUUUUCAGUUUCGUUUCGUUUCAUUUUCAUUUUCAUUUUGGGUUUCGGUUUCGAUUCGUUGUCGUUUUGGCAUUCAUGACAGCAAACCCGUUUGGUUUUCAGUUUCGAUUGCUGCCGGCCAAUUGCCGUGGGACGAGUUUCGAGCGGGCUUUCGAGGAGGCCGCAGCUGCAGGAUGGCUCUUCAGAGGCUUCUGUGCUCGCGGAAUUCCAGCCAACGUCCUUAAAGCACUCAAGUUCAAAUCGCCCGCGAUAGAUCGGCUAUCUGAUCCACAGAGGUGAACAAACCUUCGCCGAGAGUGAAAACUCAUUGGGAUGCCGGGCGUGAGCUCGGCCGUUCAGUAGCUGGCCAGAAUCACUCAAAUCGCUUGAAUUGCGGCUGCGGAUAUUGCAUAAGCGGCUGGCCGAAAACGGAAGGCGUAGAACGGAAGCCAAAAUUGGUAACGGAAUUUUUCGAGUAUCCGUCUGAGGAGAAACCAAUUCUCAAGCGGAUAUCAGGCAGUGAAAUACCCUUUCAGCAGUAAAAAAGAUAUCAAUGAAGUCUAAGUUUGAUUAACCCAUGCAAAGUAAUUAUUCUGACUAGACGCUAGGCUCAUUGAUAUGGUUACUCGAUUCUCAAUGUUGUUGCUCUCGAUUUGAACCCACUACUAGCAUUAUGACUUAAUCUGGCAUUACCUGAAGGGCCAUUGAGUUGGAUGGCAAGGCAAGGCAGCUUUUGAGUUAGGAGUACUACCAGUAUUAGAUGUAAUUAACGAGAUCUUUGGCCGAAAGGGGAUCAGUAGCCAUCAGUAGCGGAUCCAUUAAUCAAACUGCCGCACAGCAGGGACCCUGACUCUGAAACUUGCUCUUUAGAUAUAAAUAUUUGCGACUAUAUCGGUGCUAUCGAUGGCACCGCCUUGCGCAUAACAAUCUCUGACGUGGGGAACGAUGACGGGCAUGCGAAUUCCGAAUGACGUGGCUCGAGUUCUGGCUAAAAGUGCGCGGGAGUUGGCAUUCGGGCAUCACGAUGCUACCAAAACGGCUGGCAUUGCGGCCAAGGAUGAGGCUGAUCAACUGUGGUGCCACGAAGCGGCAUAGAAUGCGAAUUAGACGAGGAAUUGGCCGGGCUAAUGAGCUGAGGGCAGAAAACAUCUGAAGCUAUGCAAAUCGCUUUACAAACUUGAGAUAGUUUGGCUAGUCGAUUGCCCGACCUCGGGCUGCAACCUAGCUUGGCUGCAAUUAGCCAGGGCAUUAAUCAUACGCCUCGUUGGCCAGGCCAGCUCAUAAUUAUCUCUGCAUGCGGCUGUCGAUCUAAAUACGGCUAUCAUUUCGAAACACACUUGACCCGAGCAUUGCUAAUGAUGAUGUAUUAUUUGAUACAAUCCGAGCAAAUCCAAGGUCCAUCAAGCAUUUAAGCUCAUCCUCAAACUAAAAGGAUUAAUCACAUGCGUAAUUGGUUUUCCAUCAGGCAUUUACCCUAUACUGAACCAAUUUCAAGAAGCCUUUAAUUGCUCUCUUUGGGUAAUAGUUUCAGUUUCAGUUUGAUUAAUUCGGUGAACGGAAGUGGAUCUUGUUCGCAUAGAAUUCCAUUGAAAUGCAAAUUGAAUUAAAUUAUCAUUAAGCAAUUCACUCGUUACGGGGUGAAUUGAAUUGGGGAAUUAUUAUGCGGUUGCAUGAAUCUCAACCAAAGUAAUGUGCAUACUCCUCCACCAAAUUAUCCGUGGGAUGAAUUUCAUUUAUUGAAUUGGAGAGAUAAAUAUUUAUGGAAUCGGGCACUAAAAUGCAAUGCAAAUUUAAAGCUCUUUUUCCAUGUAUAUCAACUUUUCUCUUUAGAUGACGAACUAAAAAUUGUGUAUAAUUUUUAUGAGAAACUAUAAAACGUAUUAUUGCUUAUUGAUUAUUAUUGAAAAA